AGUGAACGCUGGCGGUAGGCCUAACACAUGCAAGUCGAACGGCAGCACAGUAAGAGCUUGCUCUUACGGGUGGCGGGUGGCGGACGGGUGAGGAAUACAUCGGAAUCUACUUUUUCGUGGGGGAUAACGUAGGGAAACUUACGCUAAUACCGCAUACGACCUACGGGUGAAAGCAGGGGAUCUUCGGACCUUGCGCGAUUGAAUGAGCCGAUGUCGGAUUAGCUAGUUGGCGGGGUAAAGGCCCACCAAGGCGACGAUCCGUAGCUGGUCUGAGAGGAUGAUCAGCCACACUGGAACUGAGACACGGUCCAGACUCCUACGGGGGGCAGCAGUGGGGAAUAUUGGACAAUGGGCGCAAGCCUGAUCCAGCCAUACCGCGUGGGUGAAGAAGGCCUUCGGGUUGUAAAGCCCUUUUGUUGGGAAAGAAAAGCAGCAGGUUAAUACCCCGCUGUUCUGACGGUACCCAAAGAAUAAGCACCGGCUAACUUCGUG
rnacentral:rRNA from 1 species